UACGGAGGGUGCAAGCGUUGUUCGGAUUUACUGGGCGUAAAGCGCGCGCAGGUGGGUGAACAAGUCGGAAGUGAAAUCUUGAGGCUCAACCUCGAGGCUGCUCCCGAAACUGUUCGCCUAGGGACUGGUAGAGGCUGGUAGAAUUCCCGGUGUAGCGGUGGAAUGCGUAGAGAUCGGGAAGAAUACCCGUGGCGAAGGCGGCCAGCUGGGCCAGAUCCGACACUGAGACCCGAAAGCGUGGGGAGCAAACAGG
rnacentral:rRNA from 1 species